rnacentral:misc_RNA from 1 species
AACUUUCAGCAACGGAUCUCUUGGCGCUGGCAUCGAUGAAGAACGCAGCGAAAUGCGAUAAGUAAUGUGAAUUGCAGAAUUCAGUGAAUCAUCGAAUCUUUGAACGCACAUUGCGCCCCUUGGUAUUCCGAGGGGCAUGCCUAUUCGAGCGUCAUUAUCACCCCUCAAGCUUCGGCUUGGUGUUGAGGCCUGCUGUAAAGGCACCCUCUAAAAUCAGUGGCAGUGCCGUCAGGCUCUAAGCGUAGUAAUUUCAUCGCUAUAGGGUCCUGGUGGAUGCUCGUCAGAAACCCCCCAUUUUUUAAUGAUUGACCUCGGAUUAGGUAGGGAUACCCGCUGAACUUAAGCAUAUCAAUAAGCGGAGGCU